rnacentral:sRNA from 1 species
UAAAUUGAGAAGCCCACAUUGCGACAGU